CAUCAUUUCUUCUUCUCUCUUCUCUAUGACGUUCUCUUCCACAAUUCUCUCUAUAUGCUGUUGAAGUAGAGAUAGCUGAGGCUUUAGGGGUUGGAUCCAUUAGAAUGGAUGACAUUACCGAUUGUAAAUUUUAUACAGUAGGAUUUUAGUUUUUCAAUUUUCUUUUGCAAAAAUUAAAACUGUUAAAAUAAAUUUUCUUUGCCAUUCUACUCGGCUCAAAAUUUCAUUCCUAGCUGGGAAAAGGCCGACAACAGCUACAGGCUGGCAAAAGGGAUGACUGCAAAGUCUAGCAAGGGAUAUGAAGAAAUGCAAUGGGCAACUAAAGCCCAACAUCUAGGCAGCAUACCCCGCAAGAUGACGUUCAUGACGGUGGGAGCAUUCACCAAGGUUGUGUCUAAUCUGUUCAACACAACUACCGUGAACAACAUCAACACUCUCCUCCAUCUUGUCCGAUCCCACCCACCAGCCUGCCUCUCCUUACCGUUAGUAAUCACAUGCAGUGAAUGGUCGUGGUGCAAAAGACUCGCUGGAAUGGGCUUAUAGAGGAGAAGGCACUUUCAAUCUGGUUAUUGCUUAUUGUGGAAAAUGUCCUAAUUUUAUAUGUUUUCUUCUUUUCUUUUUUACCCUUACCUUUUAUUGAAUUAACUAAUUUUGGGUU